GGAACGGGAAUAAAACGUUUUUUAAAAACAGACAUGAUGUUUUUAAAAAACGUUUUAUUCCCGUUCCGUUC